CCUAAAGUUACCUGUUAGACGAACGCUGCGCGGCGUGCUUAAUGCAUGCAAGUCGCACGCACUGAUCUUCGGAACAGUGAGUGGCGCACGGCUGAGGAACACGUGGGUGACCUGCCCCGGUGUGGGGGAUAACCCGCCGAAAGCGAGCUAAUCCCGCAUACGCUCUGCGGAGGAAAGCGGAAACGCGCACUGGGAGGGGCCUGCGGCCAUCAGGUAGUUGGUGUGGUAACGGCGCACCAAGCCGAURACGGGUACCUGGUCUGAGAGGACGACCAGGCAGACUGGGACUGAGACACGGCCCAGACUCCUACGGGAGGCAGCAGCAAGGAAUUUUCCGCAAUGGGCGCAAGCCUGACGGAGCAACGCCGCGUGCCGGAAGACGGCUUUCGGGUUGUAAACGGCUUUUGUUGGGGACGAUCUGGACGGUACCCAACGAAUAAGCCCCGGCUAACUCCGUGCCAGCAGCCGCGGUAAUACGGAGGGGGCAAGCGUUGUCCGGACUUACUGGGCGUAAAGCGUGCGUAGGCGGUACGGUGCGUCGGCACUGAAAGCGGAUGGCUUAACCAUCCGAGGUGUGGCGAUACGACCGAACUGGAGGCAGGGAGAGGUUCGCGGAAUUCCGGGUGUAGUGGUGAAAUGCGUAGAGAUCCGGAGGAACGCCGGUGGCGCAAGCGGCGAACUGGCCCUGACCUGACGCUAAGGCACGAAAGCGUGGGGAGCAAACCGG
rnacentral:rRNA from 1 species